GCAGGUGUGGCCGAGCGCUCGAAGGCACUGGUUUGCAAAACCAGCGACAAUGUCCACGUGGGUUGGAAUCCUGCCACCUGCU
rnacentral:tRNA from 1 species